AGCUUUGCUCAGUGACAUUACCGUAGCUGAUGAGGUCCAUCCGAGGCGCGGUUAUUGCUGAUUGAAAACUUUUCCCAAUACCCCGCGAGACGACUUGAAACAUAGUCGGCUUUGCAAUUUUUGUGGGCCCUGCUUAGGG
rfam:Nematostella vectensis strain CH2 x CH6 NEMVEscaffold_159_Cont16282, whole genome shotgun sequence.